AGCGAACGCUGGCGGCAGGCCUAACACAUGCAAGUCGAACGAACUCUUCGGAGUUAGUGGCGGACGGGUGAGUAACACGUGGGAACGUGCCUUUUGGUUCGGAAUAACUCAGGGAAACUUGUGCUAAUACCGAAUGUGCCCUUCGGGGGAAAGAUUUAUCGCCAUUAGAGCGGCCCGCGUCCGAUUAGCUAGUUGGUGAGGUAACGGCUCACCAAGGCGACGAUCAGUAGCUGGUCUGAGAGGAUGACCAGCCACACUGGGACUGAGACACGGCCCAGACUCCUACGGGAAGCAGCAGUGGGGAAUCUUGCGCAAUGGGCGAAAGCCUGACGCAGCCAUGCCGCGUGAAUGAUGAAGGUCUUAGGAUUGUAAAAUUCUUUCACCGGGGACGAUAAUGACGGUACCCGGAGAAGAAGCCCCGGCUAGCUUCGUG
rnacentral:rRNA from 1 species